CCUACGGGGGGCUGCAGUGGGGGAUAUUGCACAAUGGGGGGAACCCUGAUGCAGCGACGCCGCGUGGGUGAAGGAGCGCCUCGGCGCGUAAAGCCCUAUCGGCAGGGAAGAAGAUGACGGUACCUGACGAAGAAGCCCCGGCUAACUACGUGCCAGCAGCCGCGGUAAUACGUAGGGGGCAAGCGUUAUCCGGAUUUACUGGGUGUAAAGGGGGCGCAGACGGCAAUGCAAGCCAGGAGUGAAAGCCCGGGGCCCAACCCCGGGACUGCUCUUGGAACUGCGUGGCUGGAGUGCAGGAGGGGCAGGCGGAAUUCCUGGUGUAGCGGUGAAAUGCGUAGAUAUUAGGAGGAACACCGGUGGCGAAGGCGGCCUGCUGGACUGUGACUGACGUUGAGGCCCGAAGGCGUGGGGAGCAAACAGGAUUAGAUACCCGUGUAGUC
rnacentral:rRNA from 1 species